UCGCGGGGCUUCGCGGGGCUGGGGAAGCGUUUGCCAGGAACGGCCCAAACGAGUCAUCUGAGGACCCAGUUAGCAGAUGGAGUGUGCUUCCAGCCUCCUGGCCAUGCAAAUGGAGUUGGAAGUCUCAAGUCUACUCUUUUGCUAGAUCAGCAGGAUACCACAAUGAACUCCCCCAGGAGCCCACGUCCAUAUCAAGGUACAGGAAUGAAGGCAUUGCUCUCUGAGAAGCAAGCAGCAACAUCAGCAGAUCAAUGUCUUAGUCAGUUCAAACCACUGACACCUUCCUCUUGCUCAAAAAGCAUGUGCUAUGGUAUUGUAGUGAGAGCACCAUGUCCUCCUCAGAUAGAGGAUCUUCAUCUCUGUCUUCACCAGGAUCACAAGGAGCCAGAACCUGGCAUGUCUGGAGAGCACCAGGAUGGGGAGUGGCAGCUGCUGGAAGUAAUAAACAGCAUCUGCACACACUGAGAGCCAGGUCCUGGUCAUCAGGAGAUGUUCCUAAUGAUUGAAGAAAAAGUAAAUGUCAUACCCAUCCUCUGGAAUGGAAAGAAGAAGGAUCCAGGCAACUGCAGGCUGGUCAGCCUCACCUCUAUCCUGGGGAAGAUUGUUCAACACAUCCUGGAAGCCAUUUCCAAGCACAUAAAGGAGAAGAAAGUGACCAGGAGCAGACAUCAAGGGUUUACCAAGGGCAUAUCAUGCCUUACCAACCUGAUUGCCUUCUACAGUGAGACACCUGGCUGUAUGGACAAGGGGAGAGCACUGGAUGUGUACUGAUUCGUUUUAGCAUUGAUUUUAGCAAGGCCUUUAACAUGGUCUCCCACAGUUGUCUUAUAGUCAGAUUGGUGAGAUAUGGACCAGGUAAGUGAGGUGUGAAGUGGAUGGAAAAAUUUCUGGAGCUUUGGGCUCGAAGAGCUGUGAUCAACAACACAAAGUCCAACUGGCAUCUAGGGGCAUCCUUCAUGGAUGCACACUGAGGAUGGUACCGUUUAAUGUCUUUACUAAUGGCCUGGACAAGGAGAUGGUGUGCAUUCUCAGCAAGUUUGCAGGCAGUAGCAAAUUGGGGAGAGCUACUGCUAUGCUGCAGGGUCGGACUGAUACUCCGAGGGACCUUGACAGGCUGGAGAAAAGGACCUUCCUCUCACUGGCAAUUGCUGGCAACAGAGCUGUUGUGAAAAUAUGACUGCUGCCACCAGAAACUGGACAUGGUGUGUAUGUGAACAAGGCAGCUUAGAGAAAAAUCUGGCUGAGAGGGCUUUUAACUUCAUUAACUACUAACCUACAUUUCCUCUUUCUGUUUCAAGAGUGAUGAAGCCUAAAUGCAAAAUUGCAGUUACUGACAACAACUGUACAAAAGAUAUGUCUUGUCACUGGCAUUUUCAACAGAAGAAUCUUGGCUGGAUUAAAACAGAACUCAGAAAAGUUAAAUUAAUUUUGCUGAAGCUGUUGGGAAUUCCUCACCUCUCAGUGACAUGAACUACUGAGCAUCUGUAACUGCAGUGUCAUAAGGGAAAUUGCAUGGGAACUGUAAAUACAGCCACCAUUCCUGAUACUCCUUCAAGGACACUCAAGAUGUACUGCAAAGGGAGUAUGACUUACGCUGGUUGCCAUAUAUAACAUUUAUUCCUUUGUGCCCACACUCAUAAGGAACUAUCUUUUGAUGAUUUAGCAUAGCAGUAUUACUUCAACACACAUGCUUUACAGGGCCAUCUUCACUUCACAGUGCAAGACUUACUUAGGUUUGUCCUGGGAGGACUGAUCAAAUUCUACUUUCCUUGUCUUGCCUACCUUCAGCUCUGGCAAUUCCUCAUUGCUGACACUCUUGCCCAGUUGUAGGAAUAUCCUUCACUGAAAUUUUAUUUCAUUGUGCUGCUAUGAACACACAUGCUUUGACUUUUAUUUAGCUAAUUCUGUUUUUAAUUCUAUGUUGUCACUGAGAUAACUGUAUCUGCUGGGACAAUCACAAUAUAUACCUCCACACAAAUAAAAAUAAAAGCCUGAGAGGCACUUAGAAAUCAUGCAGUCCUUAUGUACCUUCUGCGAAAUGCAUUUGUGUACUCCUGACUCCAUGGACCAUUAAUGACAUAGUAAAUAUGGACAUUGAUCUCUGUGACAUGACAGCCUCCUCCUUUCAACUCAAAAGCUGUGUGGUGUUAUUUAUCUUUCAUUUACGAGCUUUAGCUAGUGUUUUCCUGUGGCAAUUCGAUAUCACAGGUUUUUCAAAUAUGAUUUCCUGAAGCACUCUAUCAAAUAUUUACCAACAUUAAGAGUGGUGCAAUAUUAGACUAUGUGCCUUUCUGAAUUAGCCUACGAUCUAAUCAAACAAAGGGCCCAGCUUGUUUGCUCUUGAAUUAAACAGUGUCUCAUUAAAUGCCCAAAGAAGACCAAAGAACAGUAGUUGGUCAUCUUCUGUGCUAUGAUGUUUUGCCAUUCUGUUCAUCGCUGGAAGUUUUAAAGAGUAGGCAAGGCAGGAAGGCCAAAAGCAUAGUUGAUCCAGACAGCAAUGGGGAUGAACCAACUGUUCUCCCAAAGGUCCUCCAAGGAUAAUUAUCUGUGGUUUUAUGAUUCAGUGAAGCUUUCACACUGGGCAGGCAAACCAUCAGGGGAAAUGCUGUGGAGACACUUGGCCUCCAGAACCAUGCAGGAAGGUCCCCUUACCCUCUGGGGAUUCUCAACUGGGAACUUUUCUUGGCUUUAGGUACCACUGCCAGCCCAGCUCUCUCCUGGAAAUGCCAACUCACUAAGUCUAUGACAAAAUACUCUGGUAGGAAGUCUGUUUUCAAACACUGUCAGUCCCCAGAUAUUGAAGGACAAAGUUCCUAAUGUCACCUUUUGUUUAUGCACAACAGAAUAAUUUCAAUCUACUACUUACUAGAGAAUAAAUUUGACUCUGAAUUGU